GGUUGAUUGAUUGGGAAGAUGUUGAUGUCCUUGAUAGUAUGUAGAUUUGGAAGAGAGAAAGUUUUAUAAACUUGGAAGAGGGAGUUGAAACACUGUUUCCAGUUUUGGCCAUGUUGAGUUAUCAAAUUCAAGAUGUGCAAAAAGUAAUUGGAGAUGCAAAAGUGGAAAUCAGGAGAGUUUAGACCUAGGUAAGUAUAUCUGAGUCAUGAGUAAGAAUUCAGCUUUGAUAUGGGGCUAAGACUCAUCUUCUGCAAAUGAAAUUCAUUCCCUCAUUCAUCCUUGGUUCCUCUCCCAUAGAAUACUGAUUUCCUAAAAAGAAACAUGUUCUGAGAUCACUUGGUUGGACUCUUCAGAGACCUAUUUCUCUUUGCCAAGCUACCCCAUUAGAAUUUUAUUCUAUUGGCUUUGUUUUGCUUCUACACAUGAAGAUAUUUGGAAGACCUUAGACUUUUGUGUGGGUCCCAUAGGAAAAUUCUAACAUCUUUCCAUUCCUUCACCCUUUCAUGCUUCCUUUUAUUUUUCCCUCUUAUUUCUUAAUAGAGAUCAAAAUGUUCUGAAAAGAUUAACUACAUCUGAUGGGAAAUCUUGUCCCAUGAUUGGAUUUGUAGAAGAGGAAAAUCAAAGUGCCUCCACCAGUCAGCCUCCAAAUGGUACUUAAUUGACUGCACAUGCAAAUAUGCUGGCCAGAGUUGGAAGAAAAAUUAAAUAUCUCCAGGAAGUUUUCAAAGAAUAAAAAUUGCCAUCACUGAUGACAGAGCCCCUAGGACUGCUCAGAUGAUUUUACUUCUUGACCAGAGUUUUAGUAGUUGUUUGAACAACUAUGCAAAAGCUGGCAAGAAAAAAGUCAAGAUACCUGGCAAUGGCCAAGGAUGAAGUGGAUGACCUUGGCAUCUCUGAUGUCCGACCAAGCUCCAAGUAAUCUACAGUACUUGCUUCAACCACUUUCAUGACUUAGCUAUGUCACUUGACACAUUAUACCCAUGAAGCCUAGAAAACACAAAUAGGAUGACCAUUUUUAUUCCAAUGUAAAAUUAUAAUAAAAAUUUUGAGCCA
rnacentral:lncRNA from 1 species